UACGUAGGGGGCGAGCGUUGUCCGGAGUUACUGGGCGUAAAGCGCACGCAGGCGGUCGGCUGCGUAGGUGGUGACAGUCCUCGGCUUACCUGAGGAAGCGCUGCCUAAACGGGUCGACUUGAGGGCCAGAGAGGGACACGGAACUCCGGGUGGAGCGGUGAAAUGCGUAGAGAUCCGGAAGAACACCAAAGGCGAAGGCAGUGUCCUGGCUGGCUCCUGACGCUCAGGUGCGAAAGCUAGGGGAGCAAACAGG
rnacentral:rRNA from 1 species